AUGCCAACAUUCCUGGGCAGCCCUGUCAAAAAGGGGGUGGGUCGAAAAGGAGUCAACAGGGAAGACCUGAUCGACACAGGAUUAAACCUGACGGUGAUCUCAUCUUACCUUUUCAAAAGACUCCAAUUUGAAGCUAAGAGACAAGAUCGAACUCUUACACCUCAAACUUAUGAACUGAAUGUACAGGUGUACAGACAGGAUGACAUCCAGUUUGAACAGGUUGUUUCCAUUCACCUGACAUUCGUUCCGAUGAGUCUAAUACAUCCCAUGUAUGUCCCACCAAUGAACACUCAUACAUUGCUCAUCGACAAAGACCUGCUAGAACACUUUGACCCUUUUCUGAACUUCAAACAGCUAAAAGACUUUGCUCAAGUGCGAGAACCUCUUUCUCUCCAGCCACACAGGUUGCUAGAGCCAGACUGUCAGGUCGCAGAGGUCACGGGAACCCCAGCAGCCAGCCAUGAGUACAACGCCCUAACAACAGGCCCAAGUUCAAGCCUCUGUACCUUAGUCAACAAACAGGGUACGGUGGUACCAGCUUACACCAAAGGGGUCGCUGUUCGGCUCAACCUGCAAGGUGGUCAAACCUUACACCACACGCUGGGUUUCUUCCAAUCCUCACCUGAAUGUGUGGAACUCGGACUCACACUUGCAAACAACAAGCAUGUCAAACACCAACACCUGUUCCAGCAAUGUGAUAACAUCACAAAAACACACAAUGUGAUCGUGUACUGGAAGAAGGAAAAAGGACACUCAAAGUUACCAAGUCUAGACGAGGACUUUAAAGAUCACACUGACACCCUUGCCAAAACUGGCACACUAAACAACAUUCUGUGGUCACUCCCAACCCACCCACCCACAUUCAAGGUUGAAGUGAUUACACACAGCACAAGAACUUUACUAGCUAAACUGCCUACCUCAGAAUCGCUUACGCAGGCUCCGUUGUCUACACAGACCAACACAGCGGUCAUGCGGGCUUCUGAAACCUUGAUAAUGACUUUACCACCUCUCAGACCCCUCCAUCCACCCUGGCAACCAGUCUACAGUCACUGA
rnacentral:lncRNA from 1 species